GACGAACGCUGGCGGCGUGCUUAACACAUGCAAGUCGAACGCUGAAGCUCAGCUUUUGUUGGGUGGAUGAGUGGCGAACGGGUGAGUAACACGUGAGUAACCUGCCUCCUUCUUUGGGAUAACGCCCGGAAACGGGUGCUAAUACUGGAUAUUCACUGGUCUUCGCAUGGGGGUUGGUGGAAAGGGUUUUUCUGGUGGGGGAUGGGCUCGCGGCCUAUCAGCUUGUUGGUGGGGUGAUGGCCUACCAAGGCUUUGACGGGUGGCCGGCCUGAGAGGGUGACCGGUCACAUUGGGACUGAGAUACGGCCCAGACUCCUACGGGAGGCAGCAGUGGGGAAUAUUGCACAAUGGGCGCAAGCCUGAUGCAGCGACGCCGCGUGAGGGAUGGAGGCCUUCGGGUUGUGAACCUCUUUCGCUAAUGGUCAAGCCGCAACAAUGGUUGUGGUGAGGGUAGUGGGUAAAGAAGCGCCGGCUAACUACGUG
rnacentral:rRNA from 1 species